UUGGUGUUUCUUUGUUUUCAGUUGAAGGGUCUUUCUUGGACAGAUUCUACAAAUCAACUGCAGCCAUGGAUCCAUUAGAGCGUGCUGCAUUCCUUGAAAAAAAUAGGAAGAUGGAAGUAGCUCAUUCAGUAGCUGCUACUGCUGGUGAAACUGAGAUGUGUCUACAACUAUGAUAUUAACACCUGGACCUGUGAUUGAUUUUCUUCUGGCCAAUCAGAAUGCACGGGAACCUCGUAAUAUUGACUGGGCAAAGGCUAAGAAAAUGCUAAAAAAUAUGACGGUUAAGACAAGGCACAGCAACAUGGAAUUUAAGAUCAUAGGCUUGAGUGAAAAGCCUUGCAAUCAGCAAUUUUUUUCUUUGAAAGUGAGGAAUGCUGAUGGUGGAUAACAUUGAACUUAAUUAUUCUGCAUUCAUGCCAUGCCUUGAUGUUGAAACACCAAAACGGCCUAGCUAUCUUCCUCGUAAUAAUGGAAGAGAAGUGUUCCAACUUUAGCAACUCUUCACCCGCAUCCGAAUAGAACGGUGGGCAGUUGUCAACUUCUCUGCUCGUUGUGAUACAAGUCAUCUUUUCCGAGAACCUAAUAACUAUGGAAGGAACAAGGGCAUUGUAAGUACCCUAUAUUUGUUUUUUUGUGAUGGGUAUUAUUGUUUCAAGGACCGUAGACGAAGAAAAUAGUGAU